UUUCUGAGUAACGGAUUAUUCAUUGUGUUUCUGAAGCGGGAGGUGAAAAUAGCGAUCUUUAAAAAUCAUGUAGUGCUUUUGAGCUUGUCUUGCUGUGUUUGGAUGGUUAGUAAUUCGUUUUCUCCUCCCCUUCAUCACCAGCCGAACAAUAAUGAGCUAUUGAAGAUCGUAGAAUGCCAGACUCUAUAUUGGAGUUCCUCCUACAGAACUGCUAGUGUCUGCAUCUUUAAAACCCUCUUGUUACCCAGGAGCAGCAGCUCUGACUUCUCAACACUGGCUGUGCAUUCGGUCCAAGCAGUGAGUGUAUGUGAUACAUGAAUAAAUAUUUGUGUCCA